GCCGGGUGCAGUGGCGUGCGCCUGUAAUCCAAGUUGCUGGGAGGCUUAGGCUGGCGGAUCGUUUGAGCUCAGGAGUUCUGAGCUGCAGCGAACUAUGCCGAUCGGGUGUCCGCACUAAGUUCGGUAUCGAUAUGGUGCUCCUGGGGGAGCCCGGGACCACCAGGUCGUCUAAGGAGGGGUGCACCGGCCCAGGCCGGAAACGGAGCAGGCCAAAGCCCCCGUGCCGCUCAGUAGUGGGAUCGCGCCUGUGAAUAGACGCUGUAGUGCAGCCUUAGCAAUACAGCGGGACCCAGUCUUUU
ensembl:misc_RNA Metazoa_SRP Metazoan signal recognition particle RNA